GACGUAGGGCGCGAGCGUUGCCCGGAUUUAUUGGGCGUAAAGAGCUUGUAGGCGGUCUGUCGCGUCUGCUGUGAAAAUCCGGGGCUCAACCCCGGACUUGCAGUGGGUACGGGCAGACUAGAGUGUGGUAGGGGAGACUGGAAUUCCUGGUGUAGCGGUGAAAUGCGCAGAUAUCAGGAGGAACACCGGUGGCGAAGGCGGGUCUCUGGGCCGUAACUGACGCUGAGGAGCGAAAGCGUGGGGAGCGAACAGG
rnacentral:rRNA from 1 species